GCCUCUUUAGCACAGUGGUAGCUGCGUUCCUUUCGUAAGGGAAAGGUCGGCGGUUCGACUCCGUCAAGGGGCA
rnacentral:tRNA from 1 species